UCCAGCAGUAGUCAGCCAUCCAGACAGACUCAUUUCUGUGGUGGUGUUACACUGCUGGGAGAUGAAUGUUCUGUCUUCUUCCUCCAGUUGCCUCCGUCACUGUUCUGGUGGCAUCAGGCACUGGUGCAAGGCAGAACUGUGCUUCCUCUGGAGCGUGCUAAGCAUUCACUUUGACUGCUUAGUUCUAGUGUGGGAGCAUACACA